UACAGAGGGUGCGAGCGUUGUCCGGAAUCACUGGGCGUAAAGGGCGCGUAGGCGGCUUGAUAAGCGUGCGGUGAAAGCCCGGGGCUCAACCCCGGGUCGGCCGUGCGAACUGUCGAGCUGGAGCACUGUAGAGGCAGGUGGAAUUCCGGGUGUAGCGGUGGAAUGCGUAGAGAUGCGGAGGAACACCGAUGGCGAAGGCAGCCCCCUGGGCUGACACUGACGCUCAGGCACGAAAGCGUGGGGAGCAAACAGG
rnacentral:rRNA from 1 species